CCUACGGGCGGCUGCAGUGGGGAAUAUUGGACAAUGGGGGCAACCCUGAUCCAGCCAUGCCGCGUGUGUGAAGAAGGCCCUCGGGUUGUAAAGCACUUUCAGUGAGGAAGAACGCCUGGUGGUUAAUACCCAUCAGGAAAGACAUCACUCACAGAAGAAGCACCGGCUAACUCCGUGCCAGCAGCCGCGGUAAUACGGAGGGUGCGAGCGUUAAUCGGAAUUACUGGGCGUAAAGCGCGCGUAGGUGGCUUGAUAAGCCGGUUGUGAAAGCCCCGGGCUCAACCUGGGAACGGCAUCCGGAACUGUCAAGCUAGAGUGCAGGAGAGGAAGGUAGAAUUCCCGGUGUAGCGGUGAAAUGCGUAGAGAUCGGGAGGAAUACCAGUGGCGAAGGCGGCCUUCUGGACUGACACUGACACUGAGGUGCGAAAGCGUGGGUAGCAAACAGGAUUAGAUACCUCUGUAGUC
rnacentral:rRNA from 1 species